rnacentral:rRNA from 1 species
GACGAACGCUGGCGGCGUGCUUAACACAUGCAAGUCGAGCGAGGCCCCUCCUUCGGGAGGGUGUCCUAGCGGCGAACGGGUGAGUAACACGUGGGCAACCUGCCCUCAGCUCUGGGAUAACUCCGGGAAACCGGGGCUAAUACCGGAUACGACCUCCACGGGCAUCUGCGGAGGUGGAAAGUUUUUCGGCUGAGGAUGGGCCCGCGGCCUAUCAGCUAGUUGGUGGGGUAGUGGCCCACCAAGGCGACGACGGGUAGCCGGCCUGAGAGGGCGACCGGCCACACUGGGACUGAGACACGGCCCAGACUCCUACGGGAGGCAGCAGUGGGGAAUAUUGCGCAAUGGGCGAAAGCCUGACGCGGCGACGCCGCGUGAGGGACGAAGGCCUUCGGGUUGUAAACCUCUUUCAGCAGGGACGAAGCGAAAGUGACGGUACCUGCAGAAGAAGCACCGGCCAACUACGUG